CUUCCUCCAAUCAUUGCGUGCACCCCAAGGCGUCCAGAGAUAUGUACAGCAGGAGCUGCGAGCAGUCUGCUUUCCAUAAAGUAAAGUAUGAAAAACAAGAUUUCCAAAUAACCAAGGAAUUUCUAAAGAAGAAUAAAGAAGUGGCUCAGUCAGGCUACAGAGAUUACCGUGAAGUUUCCAAACGAUUCCAGCUGCCUGUUGGAGAAUACAUCAUUGUCCCUCACACGUAUAAUCCUAAUCAGGAUGCAGAUUUUUGCCUUCGAGUUUUCUCAGAAAAGAACGCUGACUCGCAUCACACUUAGGUUUGAACUCUUGGAUACAAAUACGUCAUCACCAAUCUUGGGACUUUAUUCUGUCUAAUGAAGACUGAAGGAAGAAGAAGAACAAUAAUUUACAUCAAUGGUUUUAAAACUAUGAUUAAUGUGCUGAAAUAAAAAAACUGCAAUACCAA